AACGAACGCUGGCGGCAGGCCUAACACAUGCAAGUCGAGCGCCCGUAGCAAUACGGGAGCGGCAGACGGGUGAGUAACACGUGGGAACGUGCCCAAAGGUACGGAACAACUCCGGGAAACUGGAGCUAAUACCGUAUGUGCCCGAAAGGGGAAAGAUUUAUCGCCUUUGGAUCGGCCCGCGUCUGAUUAGCUAGUUGGUGAGGUAAUGGCUCACCAAGGCGACGAUCAGUAGCUGGUCGAGAGGAUGAUCAGCCACACUGGGACUGAGACACGGCCCAGACUCCUACGGGAGGCAGCAGUGGGGAAUAUUGGACAAUGGGCGCAAGCCUGAUCCAGCCAUGCCGCGUGAGUGAUGAAGGCCCUAGGGUUGUAAAGCUCUUUCGGCGGGGACGAUAAUGACGGUACCCGCAGAAGAAGCCCCGGCUAACUUCGUGCCAGCAGCCGCAGU
rnacentral:rRNA from 1 species